UAGCUAGUUGGUGAGGUAACGGCUUACCAAGGCGACGAUCUGUAGCGGGUCUGAGAGGAUGAUCCGCCACACUGGAACUGAGACACGGUCCAGACUCCUACGGGAGGCAGCAGUGGGGAAUUUUGGACAAUGGGGGCAACCCUGAUCCAGCCAUGCCGCGUGAGUGAAGAAGGCCUUCGGGUUGUAAAGCUCUUUCGGCCGGGAAGAAAUCGCAUGGGCCAAUACCCUGUGUGGAUGACGGUACCGGAAUAAGAAGCACCGGCUAACUACGUGCCAGCAGCCGCGGUAAUACGUAGGGUGCGAGCGUUAAUCGGAAUUACUGGGCGUAAAGCGUGCGCAGGCGGUUUUGUAAGACAGGCGUGAAAUCCCCGGGCUCAACCUGGGAACUGCGUUUGUGACUGCAAGGCUAGAGUACGGCAGAGGGGGGUGGAAUUCCACGUGUAGCAGUGAAAUGCGUAGAGAUGUGGAGGAACACCAAUGGCGAAGGCAGCCCCCUGGGUCGAUACUGACGCUCAUGCACGAAAGCGUGGGUAGCAAACAGGAUUAGAUACCCUGGUAGUCCACGCCCUAAACUAUGUCAACUAGGUGUUGGGUGGGUAAAACCAUUUAGUACCGUAGCUAACGCGUGAAGUUGACCGCCUGGGGAGUACGGCCGCAAGGUUAAAACUCAAAGGAAUUGACGGGGACCCGCACAAGCGGUGGAUGAUGUGGAUUAAUUCGAUGCAACGCGAAAAACCUUACCUACCCUUGACAUGCCAGGAACUUGCCAGAGAUGGCUUGGUGCCCGAAAGGGAGCCUGGACACAGGUGCUGCAUGGCUGUCGUCAGCUCGUGUCGUGAGAUGUUGGGUUAAGUCCCGCAACGAGCGCAACCCUUGUCGUUAAUUGCCAUCAUUUAGUUGGGCACUUUAACGAGACUGCCGGUGACAAACCGGAGGAAGGUGGGGAUGACGUCAAGUCCUCAUGGCCCUUAUGGGUAGGGCUUCACACGUCAUACAAUGGUCGGUACAAAGGGUCGCCAAGCCGCGAGGUGGAGCCAAUCCCAGAAAGCCGAUCGUAGUCCGGAUUGCAGGCUGCAACUCGCCUGCAUGAAGUCGGAAUCGCUAGUAAUCGUGGAUCAGCAUGUCACGGUGAAUACGUUCCCGGGUCUUGUACACACCGCCCGUCACACCAUGGGAGCGGGUUCCGCCAGAAGUAGGUAGCCUAACCGCAAGGAGGGCGCUUACCACGGCGGGGUUCGUGACUGGGGUGAAGUCGUAACAAGGUAGCCGUAGGGGAACCUGCGGCUG
rnacentral:rRNA from 1 species